rnacentral:lncRNA from 1 species
CUCUUUUUCUGCACACAUAUUGGUGCCAGAACCUGCAGGAAGUGGAUGAUAACGACUUGGGUCAUUGCUGAAGAUCCAGACGCUGAGGUUUGUCUUUGUAAGGAUCCAGCAGGUGGUGGGGUCAGAGGUCGGGGGUCCGGUGACCAUGAGGCAGGCGGUGGAGGCUCAGGUGUUAAACCCCCACUGUGAGCUAGGAGAAGACGGUCAGCUUGUCAUUACAAUUUAUUUGAUCAUUGUUCCACUUUACAGCUCAGUCUAAUGGUCCGACUCUGUGGGUCUGCGUGUUGCAGACCUGCAACAGAUCCUGACAGAUGUGAUCGAGGAGGUGAAACAGUCGGUGAACCCGGACGUCGACGGUGCAGAGAUUCUCCACAGUCUGCUGAACGCACCCUGGCUGCAGUCGCUGCUCAAGGUUUACGAGUGUCUUCAGCGUUACCUGAGAGACUCUCCAGCACCAGCUCUGGACUACGCUUCAGGACUUUCAUUUCAGGUCUGAUCUGUUUUAGUCACUAUU